GACGAACGCUGGCGGCGUGCUUAACACAUGCAAGUCGAACGGUAAGGCUCCAGCUUGCUGGGGUACACGAGUGGCGAACGGGUGAGUAACACGUGGGUGACCUGCCCUGCACUUCGGGAUAAGCCUGGGAAACUGGGUCUAAUAUCGGAUAGGACCAUGGUGUGGAUACUGUGGUGGAAAGUUUUUUCGGUGUGGGUUGGGCCCGCGGCCUAUCAGCUUGUUGGUGGGGUAAUGGCCUACCAAGGCGGCGCCGGGUAGCCGGCCUGAGAGGGUGGACGGCCACAUUGGGACUGAGACACGGCCCAGACUCCUACGGGAGGCAGAAGUGGGGAAUAGUGCACAAUGGGCGGAAGCCUGAUGCAGCGACGCCGCGUGGGGGAUGACGGCCUUCGGGUUGUAAACUCCUUUCACCAUCGACGAAGGGUUUCUGACGGUAGAUGGAGAAGAAGCACCGGCUAACUACGUG
rnacentral:rRNA from 1 species